rnacentral:rRNA from 1 species
UGAGGAAUAUUGGUCAAUGGACGCGAGUCUGAACCAGCCAAGUAGCGUGAAGGAUGACUGCCCUAUGGGUUGUAAACUUCUUUUAUAUGGGAAUAAAGUGGUCCACGUGUGGACUUUUGUAUGUACCAUAUGAAUAAGGAUCGGCUAACUCCGUGCCAGCAGCCGCGGUAAUACGGAGGAUCCGAGCGUUAUCCGGAUUUAUUGGGUUUAAAGGGAGCGUAGGCGGAUUGUUAAGUCAGUUGUGAAAGUUUGCGGCUCAACCGUAAAAUUGCAGUUGAUACUGGCAGUCUUGAGUGCAGUAGAGGUGGGCGGAAUUCGUGGUGUAGCGGUGAAAUGCUUAGAUGUCACGAAGAACUCCGAUUGCGAAGGCAGCUCACUGGAGUGUAACUGACGCUGAUGCUCGAAAGUGUGGGUAUCAAACAGGAUUAGAUACCCUGGUAGUCCACACAGUAAACGAUGAAUACUCGCUGUUUGCGAUAUACAGUAAGCGGCCAAGCGAAAGCGUUAAGUAUUCCACCUGGGGAGUACGCCGGCAACGGUGAAACUCAAAGGAAUUGACGGGGGCCCGCACAAGCGGAGGAACAUGUGGUUUAAUUCGAUGAUACGCGAGGAACCUUACCCGGGCUUGAAUUGCAACUGAAUGAUGUGGAGACAUGUCAGCCGCAAGGCAGUUGUGAAGGUGCUGCAUGGUUGUCGUCAGCUCGUGCCGUGAGGUGUCGGCUUAAGUGCCAUAACGAGCGCAACCCUUAUCGAUAGUUACCAUCAGGUUAUGCUGGGGACUCUGUCGAGACUGCCGUCGUAAGAUGUGAGGAAGGUGGGGAUGACGUCAAAUCAGCACGGCCCUUACGUCCGGGGCUACACACGUGUUACAAUGGGGGGUACAGAAGGCAGCUACACGGCGACGUGAUGCUAAUCCCGAAAGCCUCUCUCAGUUCGGAUUGGAGUCUGCAACCCGACUCCAUGAAGCUGGAUUCGCUAGUAAUCGCGCAUCAGCCACGGCGCGGUGAAUACGUUCCC